CCUAAGGCGAGGCCGAAAGGCGUAGUCGAUGGGAAACAGGUUAAUAUUCCUGUACUUGGUGUUACUGCGAAGGGGGGACGGAGAAGGCUAUGUUGGCCGGGCGACGGUUGUCCCGGUUUAAGCGUGUAGGUGUGUGUUCCAGGU
rnacentral:rRNA from 1 species